UACAGAGGGGGCAAGCGUUAUUCGGAAUUAUUGGGCGUAAAGGGCGCGUAGGCGGCUUUGCAAGUGACGGGUGAAAUCCCUCGGCUUAACCGAGGAACUGCCUGUCAAACUGCAUGGCUUGAGACCGGGAGAGGUGAGUGGAAUUCCCAGUGUAGCGGUGAAAUGCGUAGAUAUUGGGAGGAACACCAAUGGCGAAGGCAGCUCUCUGGGACGGUACUGACGCUGAGACGCGAAAGCGUGGGGAGCGAACAGG
rnacentral:rRNA from 1 species